rnacentral:misc_RNA from 1 species
GAUGAAGAACGUAGCGAAAUGCGAUAAGUAAUGUGAAUUGCAGAAUUCAGUGAAUCAUCGAAUCUUUGAACGCACAUUGCGCCCGCCAGUAUUCUGGCGGGCAUGCCUGUCUGAGCGUCAUUUCAACCCUCAUGCCCCUAGGGCGUGGUGUUGGGGAUCGGCCAAAGCCCGCGAGGGACGGCCGGCCCCUAAAUCUAGUGGCGGACCCGUCGUGGCCUCCUCUGCGAAGUAGUGAUGUUCCGCAUCGGAGAGCGAUGAGCCCCUGCCGUUAAACCCCCAACUUUCCAAGGUUGACCUCAGAUCAGGUAGGAAUACCCGCUGAACUUAAGCAUAUCAAUAAGCGGAGGA